rnacentral:rRNA from 1 species
UGGGGAAUAUUGCACAAUGGGGGAAACCCUGAUGCAGCGACGCCGCGUGAACGAAGAAGGUAUUCGUAUCGUAAAGUUCUGUCCUAUGGGAAGAUAAUGACAGUACCAUAGAAGAAAGCUCCGGCUAAAUACGUGCCAGCAGCCGCGGUAAUACGUAUGGAGCGAGCGUUGUCCGGAAUUAUUGGGCGUAAAGGGUACGCAGGCGGUUUAAUAAGUCGAAUGUUAAAGAUCGGGGCUCAACCCCGCAAAGCAUUGGAAACUGAUAAACUUGAGUAGUGGAGAGGAAAGCGGAAUUCCUAGUGUAGUGGUGAAAUACGUAGAUAUUAGGAGGAAUACCAGUAGCGAAGGCGACUUUCUGGACACAAACUGACGCUGAGGUACGAAAGCGUGGGGAGCAAACAGG